CACAACUCCAGGGUGCCCAUGGUCAGACUAGAGGAAGAAGAGGCAGCCUCCUCCUCCUCAGGCACAGGAUCCUGCCCACCCACCAGGCCAGGGGUCUCUCCUUGGGCCUCACGGCCUUCCUCAGGCAUGUAGUGCUGACUCCUCUGCCCAAGAGGCAUGAUGACUCUGGUCAGGGCAGCAGACGGGAGUGUGGGCAGGAGCUGGGUAAUGGGGAUCCACAGGUCUGGGAAGAGAGGGAGCGUGUGAGAGACCUCAGCUAAGAACCAAACCUUGGAGGCUCUAACAAAUGCCUAUUUAUGGAUUUUCUCCUUCAGUGCUCCUCUAGGGCCUCCUUGGGUUCCUGUCCUCCUGGUCAGCCGGUCCCCUGAGAAUCUGAAGAGAAGUGAGACAGCUCCUGAGGUUACAGCCAGCCAGCAGAGGCCAAGGCUCCAACACUGAUGGUAGGGCCGGUGGGGCUGGGCGCUGUGGAGUCCCAUCCAUUAUGGGUGGGUGGGACCCUUGGUAUACAUUCAGGGUAAACACCUCAACUUGACUGCUGACACUGCCUGGGUCUCCUCUGCUCUGUGACUUGAGGACACUGACUCAGACUAAAGCCUCACCUCCAAGUUCCUGGAGCUCCUAGAAGAGGAAUCAAGGGGCCCUCAGGGUGCAGGCUGCAAGCACUGCCUCAGUCCCCCAGCACUGUCAGGAGGGUGGGCUGGACUCUGUCAGUUCCCCCACUCAUUUGCAUAGAUGGUCCCUUCUAUGCUCACCCAGGGCCUUCACAUUUCUCCUAGCAGGGCCUGAAUCCUGCCCCUUUGCUGGCCUGAGAAAAUCUCAGAUCAAGAGCUCAUAUCCCUGAUAUGGAACAGAAGGGCAUGAGGGGACCCACAUCUGGCCACACCUGCUCAAGGCUUCACAGCAAGGACAGUAAGAGGUGGCCAUAUUCAGAGCCUGGGUCCACUUCCCUCUGCCGAUCUCAAGCCGCCCUCAGACCGAGACCCUCGCUUCUCUGACCCCUAGGCGUCGCAGCCGGCCACCAAGCCUGGGGCUUCCUCGGGUUGACUGCAGGUGUUGUACCGGAUUCUGCUAUGAGUGGGGGUGGAAAUGGGGGUGGGGGUCGUGAGGG
rnacentral:lncRNA from 1 species